ACAAAAGGGAUAAAGGGCCACAGAUGUAUGGUGAUGGAUAAAAAGUAGAUUAUUGGUGGUGAGCCCGACGCCGUCUAUACAGAAACUAAAAUAUAA